AAUCCAUGCAUUGAACAUUUUUGAAUUAACUCUUUAAAUCAUUCUCAUGUUUCAUAUAGUGUUUCGUCCUCCAUUUGCCGAAAAGAUGUGAUGUCAUUUCUAAGCUU
rfam:Gossypium hirsutum cultivar TM-1 chromosome 21, whole genome shotgun sequence